UAGCCCGCGUUGGGCGUGGCGGUGCAGGUGCUGCUACCGCCUGAGCUAACCGGAUUGGGCGCACAGUUCACCGUUCCGCUCCCUGGCGGACUGGC
rnacentral:tRNA from 1 species